GUAUAACUAUUCUUAUUAUUUAUUUUUAUUUUAUUUCAGAUUGGCAACACCCAAUAUGUUUUCGAUGAACGUAGUACCUUACAAAAACUGACAAUAAAAGUCAACUAUUCAUUUCACAACACAGGGACCACCUAACUAUUUUAACCUACCGUCUUCAAUAAAUCAAUGUCGUAUAUUUAUGUACAGUCAUUGUGCCAGACGUGUGCUAAAAAAUACUGAAGCAAAGGCUGCUAUUUGGCCGAUUCCACCUAUAUGUUAAAAAGAAGAUAAUAAAGUUUUCAUGUACAAGGGUGAUAGUGACAACAGAAAACUGGCUGAUGUAUAUCUGGAAAAAGAUGCAGGGACACCACUGCUGCCAGAAAAGUUCACCUUGUCGAAGGAGCAAAUAUAUGUACGGUGUGUGAUAUUGUCACUGCAUACCGUGUA